rnacentral:misc_RNA from 1 species
GAUGAAGAACGUAGCGAAAUGCGAUAAGUAGUGUGAAUUGCAGAAUUCAGUGAAUCAUCGAAUCUUUGAACGCACAUUGCGCCCCUUGGUAUUCCAUGGGGCAUGCCUGUUCGAGCGUCAUUUGUACCUUCAAGCUUUGCUUGGUGUUGGGUGUUUGUCUCGCCUUUGCGUGUAGACUCGCCUUAAAAUAAUUGGCAGCCGGCGUAUUGAUUUCGGAGCGCAGAACAUCUCGCGCUUUGCACUCAUAACGACAGCGUCCAAAAGUACAUUUUACACUCUUGACCUCGGAUCAGGUAGGGAUACCCGCUGAACUUAAGCAUAUCAAUAAGCGGAGGA